rnacentral:rRNA from 1 species
UACGGGGGGAGCAAGCGUUGUUCGGAUUUACUGGGCGUAAAGGGCGCGUAGGCGGCCACCGCAAGUCGACUGUGAAAUCUCCGGGCUUAACCCCGGAAAGGUCAGCCGAUACUGCGGGGCUAGAGUGCAGAAGGGGCAACUGGAAUUCUCGGUGUAGCGGUGAAAUGCGUAGAUAUCGAGAGGAACACCUGCGGCGAAGGCGGGUUGCUGGGCUGACACUGACGCUGAGGCGCGAAAGCUAGGGGAGCGAACGGG